AAGAAUUUAAAGAUGUCAUCACCAAAAAAGGCAAUACAGCAGCAAUAAAUAAAGCAAGAGAGAAAGGUUGGCAGGAAAUUGCUGAUCGUCUCAAUGCCAGCAACUUAAGUGAAGGAAAAAGAACCUGGCAGCAGGUGAAAAUAAAAUAUAAAAAUAUAGUUCAGAAUGCGACCAAAAAGAAGACUGAGGUUGCUGGCACUGGGGGAGGGCCACCACCAGCCAGCUUCACUCCUGCAGAGGAGCUGGCUUUGGAAAUUAAUAAAGGGAGGCCCGUCCUUGAGGGAAUAGAGGGGGGCACAUCAUCUAAAAUUAUAUCACGUAGUAUAAGGAGUGAGUAUAUAAAAGAUUCUGUAUGCUUUAUGGAUCCACCAGACAUCAUGUUGCCUGUG